GACGAACGCUGGCGGCGUGCCUAAUACAUGCAAGUAGAACGCUGAAGGAGGAGCUUGCUCUUCUGGAUGAGUUGCGAACGGGUGAGUAACGCGUAGGUAACCUGCCUGGUAGCGGGGGAUAACUAUUGGAAACGAUAGCUAAUACCGCAUAAGAGUAGAUGUUGCAUGACAUUUACUUAAAAGGUGCAAUUGCCUCACUACCAGAUGGACCUGCGUUGUAUUAGCUAGUUGGUGGGGUAACGGCUUACCAAGGCGACGAUACAUAGCCGACCUGAGAGGGUGAUCGGCCACACUGGGACUGAGACACGGCCCAGACUCCUACGGGAGGCAGCAGUAGGGAAUCUUCGGCAAUGGACGGAAGUCUGACCGAGCAACGCCGCGUGAGUGAAGAAGGUUUUCGGAUCGUAAAGCUCUGUUGUAAGAGAAGAACGAGUGUGAGAGUGGAAAGUUCACACUGUGACGGUAUCUUACCAGAAAGGGACGGCUAACUACGUG
rnacentral:rRNA from 1 species